rnacentral:rRNA from 1 species
UGAGGAAUAUUGGUCAAUGGGCGAGAGCCUGAACCAGCCAAGUCGCGUGAGGGAAGAAUGGUCUAUGGCCUGUAAACCUCUUUUGUCAGGGAAGAAUAAGGAUGACGAGUCAUUCGAUGCCAGUACUUGACGAAUAAGCAUCGGCUAACUCCGUGCCAGCAGCCGCGGUAAUACGGGGGAUGCGAGCGUUAUCCGGAUUUAUUGGGUUUAAAGGGCGCGUAGGCGGGACGUCAAGUCAGCGGUAAAAGACUGCAGCUAAACUGUAGCACGCCGUUGAAACUGGCGCCCUGGAGACGAGACGAGGGAGGCGGAACAAGUGAAGUAGCGGUGAAAUGCAUAGAUAUCACUUGGAACCCCGAUAGCGAAGGCAGCUUCCCAGGCUCGUUCUGACGCUGAUGCGCGAGAGCGUGGGUAGCGAACAGGAUUAGAUACCCUGGUAGUCCACGCCGUAAACGAUGCUCACUGGAUCUUGGCGAUACACGGCCAGGGUUCAAGCGAAAGUAUUAAGUGAGCCACCUGGGGAGUACGUCGGCAACGAUGAAACUCAAAGGAAUUGACGGGGGCCCGCACAAGCGGAGGAACAUGUGGUUUAAUUCGAUGAUACGCGAGGAACCUUACCCGGGUUUAAAUGUAGAUUGCAUGAGGUGGAAACACUUCUUCCCUUCGGGGCUAUUUACAAGGUGCUGCAUGGUUGUCGUCAGCUCGUGCCGUGAGGUGUCGGGUUAAGUCCCAUAACGAGCGCAACCCCUAUCGCCAGUUGCCAUCGGUUGAAGCCGGGCACUCUGUCGAGACUGCCACCGUAAGGUGCGAGGAAGGCGGGGAUGACGUCAAAUCAGCACGGCCCUUACACCCGGGGCGACACACGUGUUACAAUGGCCGGUACAGAGGGCAGCCACGGGGUGACCCGGAGCGAAUCUCUAAAGCCGGUCGUAGUUCGGACUGGAGUCUGCAACCCGACUCCACGAAGUUGGAUUCGCUAGUAAUCGCGCAUCAGCCAUGGCGCGGUGAAUACGUUCCC